rnacentral:rRNA from 1 species
UGACCUCGGUUCAGACGUGAUUACCCGCUGAACUUAAGCAUAUCACUAAGCGGAGGAAAAGAAACUAACCAGGAUUCCCUCAGUAACGGCGAGUGAAGAGGGAAGAGCCCAGCACCGAAGCCUGUGGCUGUUUGGCCCCUAGGCAAUGUGGUGUUCAGGUUGGCUCGCGGGGAUACUGCUCCAUCCUAAGUCCUAUAAUGAGUAAGGUUACUCGGACAUGGCCCAAUGAGGGUGAAAGGCCCGUGGGGGUGGAGAGUCAGACUGGCCAGUAUCUCCCUGAGCAGACCUUGGAGUCGGGUUGUUUGUGAAUGCAGCCCAAAGUGGGUGGUAAACUCCAUCCAAGGCUAAAUACUAGCACGAGUCCGAUAGCGAACAAGUACCGUGAGGGAAAGUUGAAAAGUACUUUGAAGAGAGAGUAAACAGUGCGUGAAACCGUUCAGAGGUAAACGGGUGGAGUUGAACUGCAAGCUCUGAGGAUUCAACUGGUGAGAUUGGCGUGAGCUUGGUCACGUGAGUUGUAUUGCCGUGUCUGCUUAGCUGCAGGUCCUCGCCUCGGUGGGGAUGCGCGUCUAGCUUAUCAAGCUCUGCGCGCACGGGAACUUUUCGAACUCGCUCGCCAGUGCACUUUCUCAGAGUGUUCACCACGACCGGUGUUGUCGUCUGGCUGUUGCGGUUAAACCGGUCUUGUAGGGUCCUUGUGGCCUUGCUUGGUCGGGAUGGCAGGUAGCCCGUUGUGUAUUUAUAUGCUUCGGGUGUAAUAGCCGACUGCAUCAGUUCUGUGCGGUACGUCGGAGACGGCGGCUUGUUGUGCGUGCGGGUGUGCCUGCGCGCCGGCGGCUCUGGGUCUGGUUGCCUUGUUGCUUGUGAAUGCAGGCCAGGUGAUGGCUCGGGGUCGUUCGGUGUGCGGUUGCGCUCGUUGCACUUUGAAGGGCCAAUAGUCUGUGGUGUAGUGGUAGACUAUCCACCCGACCCGUCUUGAAACACGGACCAAGGAGAGUAACAUGUACGCGAGUCAUUGGGCGUUACGAAACCCAAAGGCGCAGUGAAAGUAAAGGUUCGGCUUGUCCGGGCUGAGGUGAGAUCUUGUCGUUUCUCACGCAUGGUACUACCAAGCAUCGAGCGGCAGGCGCAUCACCGGCCCGUCCCAUGACGUAGUGGCGGCCUCGUGCUUGCUCAUCGUCGGGGCGGAGCAUGAGCGUACAUGUUGAGACCCGAAAGAUGGUGAACUAUGCUUGCGCAGGUUGAAGCCAGAGGAAACUCUGGUGGAGGACCGCAGCGAUUCUGACGUGCAAAUCGAUCGUCAAACGUGGGUAUAGGGGCGAAAGACUAAUCGAACCAUC